rnacentral:rRNA from 1 species
CAAAACUCGUACCUUUUGCAUCAUGAUCUAGCCAGCACCCCCAAGCAAAGAGAACUCCAGUUUGAAACCCCGAAACCUCCAACGAGCUACCUCGAGGCCGCCUAAAAUAGGGCAAACCCGUCUCUGUGGCAAAAGAGUGGGAAGACCUCCGGGUAGAGGUGAAAAGCCUACCGAGUUAGGUUAUAGCUGGUUGCUCAGAAAAUGAAUAGUAGUUCAGCCCCAUAAGCCCCUCUAGCCAACUAUUACAACCCUAAAGGCAAUAAUUGAGCCACCUAUGGGAGUUAGUUAAGGGAGGUACAGCUCCCCUAACAAAGGAUACAACCUUAUAUAGAAGGCUAAGGAAUAUAUUACACCAAAGGCCUAAAAGUUUUAGUAGGCCUAAAAGCAGCCAUCCAAACAGAAAGCGUUAAAGCUUAAACCCAAUCAAGCCUAUCAUCCCAUUCAACCCUCCAAUGCCCCUAUUUUACUACUGAGCCAUUUUAUGCCCACAUAAAAGAGACCAUGCUAGAACAAGUAAUAAGAAGAACGAACUUCUCCUCGCACAUGUGUAAGUCGAACCGGACUAGCCAUCGAUGAUUAACGAACCCAAAAAACAGAGGGCCCCACACAACCGUCACCCAAACCAAGAAAACCACGUCUCACAUAAUCGUUACCCCCACACAGGAGUGCACACCCCAAAGGAAAGACCAAAAGGAUAAAAAGGAACUCGGCAAACCAAAACCCCGCCUGUUUACCAAAAACAUCGCCUCCUGCCACUAAU